rnacentral:lncRNA from 13 species
CCAGAUGCAGCUACUGUGGAGAUCACAGAUGGGUGUCCUUGGGGAUCCUAAUGAACUGUUGAAUAUUCUCAAGGAUAUUCUGGGAAUUUGUGGACUGACUGGUAUGGGAUUAUGAGGACUUUACCCUGGUCAUUUGGGGAGGGGGUUGUCAUGUACAUCUUGGGUUUACUAAACAUUGAUGAACAGUAAAGAUGAUAUUCAAAUACAAUUGUCAAAGACGGCAAUGUUUUAGGUGUCAAUUAUAUGCUUUAUUUGACAUUAAAUAUAGCACAGUCAUUUAAAAAGAACACCACCAAGCUAAAACUAUAAAUGAACUCUGCAUUAGGAUCAAUUUAAACUUAUUUGGAUUCUAAUUAAAAAAACAUUCAAAUAAUUCCAUCCUAAAUCCUCAUUAUACUGCUUAUACCUUUUUCUGUGGGCACAGCAAAGCACAGCACAGUACUCCCUAUUCAUCCUAACAUUUGCUUUUCCAAAGUGAAGGGAGGGAGCACAGCAUUUAAAAGUCACUUCCGCUCACCGACCAAUGCUCUUAGCCCCCCUUCCCUCCCAGACCACCCCUUUCUGUCGCCUUCCCAUCAGAAAAGGCCCAAGUCAGACUGUUUACCCACAGAGUAAACUUAUUAAGUCAGUGAUGUCAGAUUACUGGAAGAAUGGAGGCUGAAUCAAAGCUGUCGGUAUGUCGGAGCUUAAGGGACAGAGCAGCAGGAACCAGACUGUCCAGAGUUCAAUCCCAUCGUUUGCAUCCGGAACUGGCAAAACAAAGAAAGCUUUAAAGUCUCGGCUGGCAAUGAAAAUGUCCUUAGCCUUAUUUCAGUUGUUGGCCUUCAAUCAAAAUGACUUUGUAAUUGGUGUGUAUGAUUAGAUUAGUUGGAAUAAAGUCAACCUCCCCUUUUUAAAAGGAUUAAGGUGAAUAAAAAAGCUGCCGUUGAAAAGUGUUCAUUCUAAACUCUGUAGAGGAGGGUGGGAUGGUGGGUAGAAAUGCAAUCUUGUUAAAAAAAAAGAAGAAAACGAUGAAGAAAAAACGUUGACUUGUUGGGAAUGCAAAUCAGCCCAAUCGUAUUUUAUGCUAAUAAAAGGAAUGGCAAAACAUUUCAAUGUAUUCUUGUCUUGUUACAGCCAGGCUAAGAGCUUCUAAAUCCCUACCAUUUACCAAAUUAAACUAAUUUAAAGUGCUUCCAAAAGGCACAUCUGUAGGCUGACGUUUGUCCCGAGCCUUGAGAGUGGGCUGCGAAAGCAUUCGACAUUCCAUUGAUCCUUGAAUAGUCAUGCCUGUCAUGGAGCCAUAUCAACCAUUAUCAUUCUAAUUUUACUGCCUUUCUUGGCCCCUAAUCUAAUUUGCAAUGAUGCUGGAGCAUUUCCUGAGGCCACUGCACUUUCUUCAGAAUUUCAACAAGGGCAUUAAAGCCCCCCAAUUUACAUUAAUGAAGUGCACAUUUAAUUAAACAGUGACUGCCCCUAAAAACCAACUAAUCCAUUUGAAUAUAUAUAUAUUUUUAAAUGCAACCUUUAUUUAACUAGCCAAGUCAGUUAAGAAUAAAUUCUUAUUUACAAUGACGGCCUACACCUGCAAAACCUAGACGACGCUGGGGCCAAUUGACUGCCGCCCUAUGGGACUCCAAUCAUGGCCGGUUAAGAUUCAGCCUGGAAUCAAACCAGGGUGCCUGUAGCGACACCUCAAGCACUUUGUGGCACCUCCUCCGUUGAUGCCAGUCUCCCUCGACUCCUAUGAAAAGGCCAUGCCAUCAUGAGGCCUCUGAUAGUGACCCGAGUUGCUGCCCUGAUCCACAGACAACUUCAUCAACAACGUCAGGUAAUGUGUAUUAUGUGAAAAGUUCUAUUAAAAAAAUACCCGGCUUGAGAAACUAGUAGGUUAAUUCCCCAGCCAAGCAGAUACAACUAGUACAGUCAUUUUGGUUGUGAAGUACAUUAGCAAAAAACUUUUGUCCUUUCUUAUUAUAUCACCAUAUCAGAGGCCCUCCCAGUCAACACCACCUCAUAUGACUGCCUGCUGCAGUUGUUCGAGAGAUGUCCAGUUUGCAGCUGAACAUGCAGCAUAAAGAAGACCAGCAAGGGGCCCCUCAUCCAGCCAGAAACCUGCACCUGUCAGCAGCAACAGCUUUCACAAGCUCAUCAUUCGUACAAAUACAGAAGGUAACCCACUUCAUUACUUUUGAUACAUUCGAUAACCAAUUGUGAAACAUAAUUUAUGUAAACUGACAUUAUUUGUUGGUAAUUAUUUGCUUCUUGGAUGCAUAUAAUGUCCAGAGCACUACCUA